rnacentral:rRNA from 1 species
AGAGUUUGAUCCUGGCUCAGGACGAACGCUGGCGGCGUGGAUAAGGCAUGCAAGUCGAAAGGGUUUAGACCCUUGGCGAACGAGUUAGUAACACGUAGGUACAUCCCUUUAAGAUGAGGAUAACCCCGCGAAAGCGGGGAUAAUACUCAAUGGUCCCGAAAGGGUAAAGUUCCGACGCAAGUCGGAAUGCUUGAAGAGUGGCCUGCGGCCUAUCAGCUAGUUGGUGAGGUAAUGGCCCACCAAGGCGAUGACGGGUAGGGGGCGUGAGAGCGUGUUCCCCAACGAGGGCACUGAGACACGGGCCUUACUCCUACGGGAGGCAGCAGUCGAGAAUCUUCCACAAUGGGCGAAAGCCUGAUGGAGCGACGCCGCGUGCAUGAAGAAGUCCUUCGGGAUGUAAAGUGCUUUUCCAAGAGAGCAAUUUUGAGUGUAUCUUGGGAAUAAGGGGUUGCUAAACUCGUGCCAGCAGCCGCGGUAA